rnacentral:rRNA from 1 species
AGGAUAAACGCUGGCGGCGUGCCUAACACAUGCAAGUCGAACGUCCUACGCAAGUAGGGAGUGGCGGACGGGUGAGUAACACGUGGGCAAUCUACCUUUCGGUGAGGAAUACCGGCGAGAAAUCGCCGACAAUACCGCAUACGCUUCGCAAGAAGCAAAGUCGCAAGACGCCGGAGGAGGAGCCUGCGCCCGAUUAGCUUGUUGGUAAGGUAACGGCUUACCAAGGCGACGAUCGGUAGCUGGUCUGAGAGGAUGACCAGCCAGACUGGGACUGAGACACGGCCCAGACUCCUACGGGAGGCAGCAGUGGGGAAUAUUGGACAAUGGGCGAAAGCCUGAUCCAGCAAUGCCGCGUGUGUGAAGAAGGUCUUCGGAUUGUAAAGCACUUUCGGACGGGGACGAUAAUGACGGUACCCGUAGAAGAACGCCCCGGCUAACUUCGUGCCAGCAGCCGC